CAGCCCCAGUGAUCAUGUGUUCCUUUCUCCUCUGUCCUACCGUCCAGAUGCUCUCCCUCUGGCCCUCUGGCUACAUCAGCACGGAGCCCUUCCUUCCUGCUUCUGCAGCAGCCCAGGGAUCUUCUACUAAAUGACUGAAACCAUGCAGAUGCCCACCAUGGAGAGUAAUGUGGGCUGCAAGAAGAUCCAAGUCCCAAGACAUCAUGAAGAUAGAGGCAGAAGCAAACAGAAUCAUCAGAGAAGAUGGACCACUGUGAAUAUACAAUAGUGUGUUGGCAUGCAUGUCAGUGAGAGUUUUCACAAAGAAUCAUAGGAACAGAUGUGCAUGUAAUGUGAGCUUUGGAACAACUGGAAAUUAAAAUAUAUAUAUCCAG